rnacentral:rRNA from 1 species
GAUGAACGCUGGCGGCGUGCCUAAUACAUGCAAGUAGAACGCUGAAGGAAGGAGCUUGCUCUUUCCGGAUGAGUUGCGAACGGGUGAGUAACGCGUAGGUAACCUGCCUGGUAGCGGGGGAUAACUAUUGGAAACGAUAGCUAAUACCGCAUAACAGUAGAUGUUGCAUGACAACUAUUUGAAAGGGGCAAUUGCUCCACUACCAGAUGGACCUGCGUUGUAUUAGCUAGUUGGUGAGGUAACGGCUCACCAAGGCGACGAUACAUAGCCGACCUGAGAGGGUGAUCGGCCACACUGGGACUGAGACACGGCCCAGACUCCUACGGGAGGCAGCAGUAGGGAAUCUUCGGCAAUAGACGGAAGUCUGACCGAGCAACGCCGCGGGAGUGAAGAAGGUUUUCGGAUCGUAAAGCUCUGUUGUAAGAGAAGAACGAGUGUGAGAGUGGAAAGUUCACACUGUGACGGUAGCUUACCAGAAAGGGACGGCUAACUACGUG